GUUCCCCCCGUCCCCGCCCCGUUCCCCGGACUUCUGCCUGCCACCACUCUGGGACCUGUCUCUCUUACUACUCCUCUGCCUGGGCCCGGACUUAGGGCGGAGGAGACCUGGGCAAUGGCGAGGCUUCCAGCUCAGCGCAGCCCACCGACCACCCGCCGCAGUCCCCACGUCUCUGCUCGGGGACUGAGGCCGAGCUGUUCCCCACAGGCGUGUGUCACGCCUUUGGCAGCCCCGGCGCGUGGAGACAAAUCUACGCUCUGUCUGUUUGGGUGUCAGGAAAACAGGUCUUAGGCACCUCUUGUCCCGUCAAACAUCCCGGACAUUCAAAACCUAUGGUCAUCGCUUUGGCCCUGCUGCCUGUUAUGGCAACCACAUCCAUUCCAUCUGUCUUGGGUCCUGCAUUGUGUCUUCCCUUGCCCUUUGCCACCUGGAACCCCAUCCACUCCACAGAAAUCAGGCAGCUCCUACCAUCACGGGACAACUACUCCAAACACUUCUCAAGGCACAUUGCUCCUUGAAUAUACGCAUUGGAAUACAUGCCAUU
rnacentral:lncRNA from 1 species